UGGGGAAUAUUGGGCAAUGGGCGCAAGCCUGACCCAGCAACGCCGCGUGAGGGAAGAAGGUCUUCGGAUUGUAAACCUCUGUCCUUGGGGACGAAAAAAAUGACGGUACCCAAGGAGGAAGCUCCGGCUAACUACGUGCCAGCAGCCGCGGUAAUACGGAGGGAGCAAGCGUUGUCCGGAAUUACUGGGCGUAAAGGGUGCGUAGGCGGUCAGGCAAGUCAGAUGUGAAAUCCCCGGGCUUAACUCGGGUGGUGCAUUUGAAACUGCUUGACUUGAGUGCAGGAGAGGAAAGCGGAAUUCCUAGUGUAGCGGUGAAAUGCGUAGAUAUUAGGAGGAACACCAGUGGCGAAGGCGGCUUUCUGGACUGUAACUGACGCUGAGGCACGAAAGCGUGGGGAGCAAACA
rnacentral:rRNA from 1 species